ACGAACGCUGGCGGCGUGCUUAACACAUGCAAGUCGAACGAUGAACCAGGAGCUUGCUCUUGGGGAUUAGUGGCGAACGGGUGAGUAACACGUGAGUAACCUGCCCUUGACUCUGGGAUAACCUCCGGAAACGGAAGCUAAUACCGGAUACGACGUACGGAGGCAUCUCCUGUACGUGGAAAGAAUUUCGGUCAAGGAUGGACUCGCGGCCUAUCAGGUAGUUGGUGAGGUAAAGGCCCACCAAGCCUACGACGGGUAGCCG
rnacentral:rRNA from 1 species